GCCUCCCCCCUCCCUCUCCUCCCUCCGCGCUCCGGGUCUGGGCUGCCCGCUUUCGCACUCGCCAUUGGCCCUUGCCCCCUUCGCUCAGCCCUGCGCCCCUCCCAGCCCCGCACUGGGUUGGUCCUAAGUACUGCCGCUCGGAACUAGCCCCGCACAGUCCUCUUAUGCUCAUUGGGCAAGGGGCCGAGGCCCUCUGAAGAUACCUCUCCCCAUUGGCUGCGCAAGGGUCCGUCUGCCCCAUCUGCAAGUCACGGAAACGAUUGGCCUCCGCCACUGUCGCUUAGAAAGAAGCCAGCCUGCUUCCCGGCUUUUCUACUAGAGAGGGGAGCGCCCAGGUGCGUCUCCGCCCCUCGCUCCCUAUUGGCCGCUCGAAGCUUGAAGCUGCAGUUCACUUUCGCGAAUCGAAGGAAUCCAGCUUCUGUAUGGUGGGCGCUUUGAGCAGAACCGCACUGAGUCGGAGUGCAGGACGGAAGUGUAGGUCCUUUUGCGCUGUUUCAAGCUAAUUCCGUGUCACUGAUGCCGGGCAGAAGUCACAGAAUGGGACGCCACCCCAAACAUUACGUCAUCCGCUGACCAUUUCCUCGCUGUCUUCCCACCGUCGAAAUCGCCAUAUAAUCUGAUGGAUGGGAUCCUCGCACGGGCCAGCUCCUGGGCCACAGCGUAACCCGUCGCUCCUCCCUCUGCGGGAGGGCGUGGACGGGGUACGGGAUUCCGAACGUGGAAGGAAUCGGGACCUAAAGGAGUCCCAGGACACUGGAACCAGGACUCCCCAUCGCGCCCCAGCAGUUUCCGAGCUCCUUUGAAGUAUGAGUCAGAACUUAUGGAUGGGGAUCCUGGAGCCACCACUUGCCCUAUGAUGGCAAUGGGCAAGUCGCUCAACCUCCCAGAUCCUGUUUUCGCAUGGGUAAAACGGGGAUUAUAAUACCACCUGACAAUAUUAUUUUUGUGAGGAUUAAAUGAUUUUAGAAUGUAAA